GUAGGGAAUAUUGCGCAAUGGACGAAAGUCUGACGCAGCGACGCCGCGUGAGUGAUGAAGGCCUUAGGGUCGUAAAGCUCUGUUGAAUGGGAAGAAAAAAAUGACGGUACCAUUCGAGGAAGGACCGGCUAACUUCGUGCCAGCAGCCGCGGUAAUGCGAGGGGUCCUAGCGUUGUUCGGAAUCAUUGGGCGUAAAGGGUGUGUAGGUGGCCAUGUAAGUCAGGUGUGAAAGCCCCGGGCUCAACCCGGGAAGUGCACUUGAUACUGCGUGGCUUGAGUACCGAAGAGGGUAGUGGAAUUCCAGGUGUAGUGGUGAAAUACGUAGAUAUCUGGAGGAACACCGGUGGCGAAGGCGGCUACCUGGUCGAGUACUGACACUGAGACACGAAAGCAUGGGGAUCAAACAGGAUUAGAUACCCUAGUAGUCC
rnacentral:rRNA from 1 species